AAAAUUUACAAAUUUAUUCUGAUCUGGAUGAAACAUUUUACACAUGAUAUUUAAAACAAAAGAACUACUUUAUCUCGAAAUUCAAGCUCUAACGAGUUGCUGCACAAAGUUUUUGGUAUUUUUCUAAAAUGGAAAUAUUGAACUUUUUUUGUUGAUUUAUGGGUUACCUUGGCGAUACGCAUGAAAAAACCAGUUAUUAUUAUUUAAUCUGAUUGUCGUGGUCAAGGAACAACCCUUUUUAAAGGAUAAACUACUGAGCAAUUAAUAUUUACUAUGAUAAGAAUAAA